UACGGAGGGAGCUAGCGUUGUUCGGAAUUACUGGGCGUAAAGCGCACGUAGGCGGCUUUGUAAGUUAGAGGUGAAAGCCCGGGGCUCAACUCCGGAACUGCCUUUAAGACUGCAUCGCUUGAAUCCAGGAGAGGUGAGUGGAAUUCCGAGUGUAGAGGUGAAAUUCGUAGAUAUUCGGAAGAACACCAGUGGCGAAGGCGGCUGACUGGACAUGUAUUGACGCUGAGGUGCGAAAGCGUGGGGAGCAAACAGG
rnacentral:rRNA from 1 species